GACAGAGGGGGCAAGCGUUGCUCGGAAUUACUGGGCGUAAAGGGCGCGUAGGCGGGAUGGCAAGUCGGUCGUGAAAUCCCUCGGCUCAACCGAGGAACGUCGAUCGAUACUGCUGUUCUUGAGGAUUGCAGAGGAGACUGGAAUUCCCGGUGUAGCGGUGAAAUGCGUAGAUAUCUGGAGGAACACCGGUGGCGAAGGCGGCAUCCUGGACCAAUACUGACACUGAAAAGCGAAAGCCAGGGGAGCAAACGGG
rnacentral:rRNA from 1 species